CCCAUCUCUGAUUCAUCUGACUCUGUUCCAUCCAGUCAUGAUCUCUACUAGAUCCUGUGUAGUUAGUCUUUUCUUUAGUUUCAGUCUAGGAUCUAUCUUUUGGGCCAUGUAAUGAUGUUGACUGAUUGACUUUUGUAUUUUGGUAUAUGUAUUGGAACAAUUAUGUAAUCAGUCACUUUUUGAUUAUAAAUAUAUAUAUACUCUUUGACUUUCAAUGAAUGACUUUCAAAUUGAGUUGCUUUUAAUUAUGAGUAUGCAAAAUAACUCCUAUCCAUGAUAUCCAAUUGAUAUAUCUUUUAUGUUUGCUAUAUUAAGGGGGAGUAAAACAAUAAGCAAUUAAGAAA
rnacentral:lncRNA from 1 species